UGGGGAAUUUUGGACAAUGGGCGAAAGCCUGAUCCAGCAAUGCCGCGUGUGUGAAGAAGGCCUUCGGGUUGUAAAGCACUUUUGUCCGGAAAGAAAUCCUUGGCUCUAAUACAGUCGGGGGAUGACGGUACCGGAAGAAUAAGCACCGGCUAACUACGUGCCAGCAGCCGCGGUAAUACGUAGGGUGCAAGCGUUAAUCGGAAUUACUGGGCGUAAAGCGUGCGCAGGCGGUUUGCUAAGACCGAUGUGAAAUCCCCGGGCUCAACCUGGGAACUGCAUUGGUGACUGGCAGGCUAGAGUAUGGCAGAGGGGGGUAGAAUUCCACGUGUAGCAGUGAAAUGCGUAGAGAUGUGGAGGAAUACCGAUGGCGAAGGCAGCCCCCUGGGCCAAUACUGACGCUCAUGCACGAAAGCGUGGGGAGCAAACAGGAUUAAAUACCCUGGUAGUCCACGCCCUAAACGAUGUCAACUAGUUGUUGGGGAUUCAUUUCCUUAGUAACGUAGCUAACGCGUGAAGUUGACCGCCUGGGGGAGUACGGUCGCAAGAUUAAAACUCAAAGG
rnacentral:rRNA from 1 species